rnacentral:rRNA from 1 species
AACAAACGCUGGCGGCGUGCCUAAUACAUGCAAGUCGAACGGGGAAAGCUUUCGGGUGAGUACUAGUGGCGCACGGGUGAGUAACGCGUGGAUAAUCUGCCUUAGAGUGGGGGAUAACUAGUCGAAAGAUUAGCUAAUACCGCAUAAGACCACAAGAACUGCGGUUAAAGGGGUCAAAGGUUUUUCGCUCUAAGAUGAGUCCGCGUAAGAUUAGCUAGUUGGUGAGGUAAUGGCUCACCAAGGCGACGAUCUUUAACUGGUCCGAGAGGAUGAUCAGUCACACUGGAACUGAGACACGGUCCAGACUCCUACGGGAGGCAGCAGUAGGGAAUAUUGCACAAUGGAGGAAACUCUGAUGCAGCGACGCCGCGUGAGUGAUGAAGGCCUUCGGGUCGUAAAGCUCUGUCGCAAGGGAAUAACACAAUGAAUGUACCUUGCAAGAAAGGAUCGGCUAACUUCGUGCCAGCCGCCGCGGUAAAAC